rnacentral:rRNA from 1 species
CCUACGGGAGGCAGCAGUGGGGAAUAUUGGACAAUGGGCGCAAGCCUGAUCCAGCCAUGCCGCGUGGGUGAAGAAGGCCUUCGGGUUGUAAAGCCCUUUUGUCCGGAAAGAAAAGCACUGGAUUAAUACUUCGGUGUUCUGACGGUGCCGGAAGAAUAAGCACCGGCUAACUUCGUGCCAGCAGCCGCGGUAAUACGAAGGGUGCAAGCGUUACUCGGAAUUACUGGGCGUAAAGCGUGCGUAGGUGGUUCGUUAAGUCUGAUGUGAAAGCCCUGGGCUCAACCUGGGAAUUGCAUUGGAUACUGGCGGGCUAGAGUGCGGUAGAGGAUGGCGGAAUUCCCGGUGUAGCAGUGAAAUGCGUAGAGAUCGGGAGGAACAUCUGUGGCGAAGGCGGCCAUCUGGACCAGCACUGACACUGAGGCACGAAAGCGUGGGGAGCAAACAGGAUUAGAUACCCUGGUAGUCCACGCCCUAAACGAUGCGAACUGGAUGUUGGGUGCAACUAGGCACUCAGUAUGAGCACGACGUUAGUUCGCCGCCGUGGGAGGUACGGUCGCGAGACGAGAAACGUUAAAGUAAGUAGUAGACGAGNGAGAGACGACGGACGACGACGACGGAGGGAGGNGG